UACGUAGGGUGCGAGCGUUGUCCGGAAUUAUUGGGCGUAAAGAGCUUGUAGGCGGUUUGUCGCGUCUGCUGUGAAAAUCCGGGGCUCAACCCCGGACUUGCAGUGGGUACGGGCAGACUAGAGUGCGGUAGGGGAGAUUGGAAUUCCUGGUGUAGCGGUGGAAUGCGCAGAUAUCAGGAGGAACACCGAUGGCGAAGGCAGAUCUCUGGGCCGUAACUGACGCUGAGGAGCGAAAGCGUGGGGAGCGAACAGG
rnacentral:rRNA from 1 species